GAUGAACGCUAGCUACAGGCUUAACACAUGCAAGUCGAGGGGCAGCAUGAGCAAAGCUUGCUUUGUUUGAUGGCGACCGGCGCACGGGUGCGUAACACGUAUCCAAUCUGCCCGCGGCUCGGGGAUAGCCCAUCGAAAGAUGGAUUAAUACCCGAUGGCGUGGUCACUCCGCAUGGAGUUUCCACUAAAGGUUUUCCGGCCGCGGAUGAGGAUGCGUAUGAUUAGGUAGUAGGCGGGGUAACGGCCCACCUAGCCUUCGAUCAUUAGGGGUUCUGGGAGGAAGGUCCCCCACACUGGAACUGCGACACGGUCCAGACUCCUACGGGAGGCAGCAGUGAGGAAUAUUGGUCAAUGGGCGAGAGCCUGAACCAGCCAAGUAGCGUGAAGGAAGACUGCCCUAUGGGUUGUAAACUUCUUUUGUUCGGGAAUAAAGUGCAGUAUGUAUACUGUUUUGUAUGUACCGUUCGAAUAAGCAUCGGCUAAUUCCGUGCCAGCCGCCGCCGUAAGAC
rnacentral:rRNA from 1 species